AGCAGCCGCGGUAAUUCCAGCUCCAAUAGCGUAUAUUAAAGUUGUUGCAGUUAAAAAGCUCGUAGUUGAAUUUCGGGAUUAGUAGGUCGGUCGUGCCACAGGUAUGUACUGGUCUCACUGAUUCCUCCUUCCUGAUGAACCGUAAUGCCAUUAAUUUGGUGUUGCGGGGAAACUGGACUGCUACUUUGAAAAAUUGAGUAGUUUAAAGCAGGCUAACGCUUGAAUACAUUAGCAUGGAAUAAUGAAAUAGGACGUUCGAUCCUAUUUUGUUGGUUUCUAGGAUUGACGUAAUGAUUAAUAGGGAUAGUUGGGGGCAGUUA
rnacentral:rRNA from 1 species